rnacentral:rRNA from 1 species
UACGGAGGGGGCUAGCGUUGUUCGGAAUUACUGGGCGUAAAGCGCCCGUAGGCGGCUUUGUAAGUUAGAGGUGAAAGCCCGGGGCUCAACUCCGGAAUUGCCUUUAAGACUGCAUCGCUCGAAUUGUGGAGAGGUAAGUGGAAUUCCGAGUGUAGAGGUGAAAUUCGUAGAUAUUCGGAAGAACACCAGUGGCGAAGGCGACUUACUGGACGACUGUUGACACUGAGGUGCGAAAGCGUGGGGAGCAAACAGG